rnacentral:rRNA from 1 species
UACGGGGGGAGCAAGCGUUGUUCGGAUUUACUGGGCGUAAAGGGCGCGUAGGCGGCGCAACAAGUCACUUGUGAAAUCUCCGGGCUUAACCCGGAGCGGCCAAGUGAUACUGUCGUGCUAGAGUGCGGAAGGGGCUACUGGAAUUCUCGGUGUAGCGGUGAAAUGCGUAGAUAUCAGGAGGAACACCGAUGGCGAAGGCAGAUCUCUGGGCCGUAACUGACGCUGAGGAGCGAAAGCAUGGGGAGCGAACAGG